UACGGGGGGGGCAAGCGUUGUUCGGAAUUACUGGGCGUAAAGGGCUCGUAGGUGGCCAACUAAGUCAGACGUGAAAUCCCUCGGCUUAACCGGGGAACUGCGUCUGAUACUGGAUGGCUUGAGUUCGGGAGAGGGAUGCGGAAUUCCAGGUGUAGCGGUGAAAUGCGUAGAUAUCAGGAGGAACACCGAUGGCGAAGGCAGGUCUCUGGGCCGAUACUGACGCUGAGGAGCGAAAGCGUGGGGAGCGAACAGG
rnacentral:rRNA from 1 species